rnacentral:rRNA from 1 species
AUACGUAGGGGGCGAGCGUUGUCCGGAAUGACUGGGCGUAAAGGGCGUGUAGGCGGCCGAUUAAGUCUGGAGUGAAAGUCCUGCUUUCAAGGUGGGAUUUGCUUUGGAGACUGGUUGGCUUGAGUGCGGAAGAGGUAAGUGGAAUUCCCAGUGGAGCGGUGAAUUGCGUAGAGAUUGGGAGGAACACCAGUGGCGAAGGCGACUUACUGGGCCGUAACUGACGCUGAGGCGCGAAAGCGUGGGGAGCGAACAGGAUUAGAUACCCUGGUAGUCCACGCGGUAAACGAUGAAUGCUAGGUGUAGGGGGUAUCGACCCCUCCUGUGCCGGAGUGAACACAAUAAGCAUUCCGCCUGGGGAGUACGGCCGCAAGGUUGAAACUCAAAGGAAUUGACGGGG